CCCAGACUCCUACGGGAGGCAGCAGUCGGGAAUAUUGCGCAAUGGAGGAAACUCUGACGCAGUGACGCCGCGUGCAGGAAGAAGGUUUUCGGAUUGUAAACUGCUUUAGACAGGGAAGAUAAUGACAGUACCUGUAGAAUAAGCCCCGGCUAACUACGUGCCAGCAGCCGCGGUAAUACGUAGGGGGCGAGCGUUAUCCGGAUUCACUGGGUGUAAAGGGAGCGUAGACGGCCAUGCAAGCCAGGGGUGAAAGCCCGGGGCCCAACCCCGGGACUGCCCUUGGAACUGCAUGGCUGGAGUGCGGGAGGGGCAGGCGGAAUUCCUGGUGUAGCGGUGAAAUGCGUAGAUAUUAGGAGGAACACCAGUGGCGAAGGCGGCUUACUGGACUGUAAAUGACGCUGAGGCUCGAAAGCGUGGGGAGCAAACAGGAUUAGAUACCCCAGUACC
rnacentral:rRNA from 1 species